AGUGAACGCUGGCGGCAGGCCUAACACAUGCAAGUCGAACGGCAGCACAGUAAGAGCUUGCUCUUACGGGUGGCGCGUGGCGGACGGGUGAGGAAUACAUCGGAAUCUACUUUUUCGUGGGGGAUAACGUAGGGAAACUUACGCUAAUACCGCAUACGUCCUACGGGUGACAGCAGGGGAUCUUCGGACCUUGCGCGAUUGAUUGAGCCGAUGUCGGAUUAGCUAGUUGGCGGGGUAAAGGCCCACCAAGGCGACGAUCCGUAGCUGGUCUGAGAGGAUGAACAGCCACACUGGAACAGAGACACGGCACAGACUCCGACGGGAGGAAGCAGUGGGGAAUAUUGGGCAAUGGGGGAAAGCCUGAUCCAGCCAUACCGCGUGGGUGAAGAAGGCCUUCGGGUUGUAAAGCCCUUUUGUUGGGAAAGAAAAACAGCAGUUUAAUACCCCGCUGUUCUGACGGUACCCAAAGAAUAAGCACCGGCUAACUUCGUG
rnacentral:rRNA from 1 species